rnacentral:lncRNA from 1 species
CUUUUUAGGGCCACACAUGCAGCACAUGGAGGUUCCCAGGUCUAAUCAGAGCCACAGCUGCCAGCCUAUACCACAGCCACAGCAACGCCAGAUCCUUAACCCACUGAGCUAGUCCAGGGAUCAAACCUUUGUCCUCAUGGAUGCUAGUCAGGUUCGUUUCUGCUGAGUGAUGAUGGGAACGCCCAAGACUAUCAUUUCUGAUGCCAGAAGACAGUGGUGAGGCUAGAUGGGGAGAGGGGCCCUUGGUCACUCUUUUCCCAGUUGUCCUACAGAUCAUUAGAGACUUGGCUGUCCCCAAUUUCAGGAAGGGAGAGCUGAAUCCGGAAGCUGAGGGUGGGGGUGGUAAGGAAUAUUGGCAGACAGCGGGAGAGGUGUGACUAGGGAGAGGUCAGUCAGGGGAAAAGAGAGCUUGAACUAAGAACUGAAUCCAAGAGUCAAACAGCCUUUGACCUUGAGAUCUCCUUGGAUCAGAAUGAAUGAGCCAUACACCACAGAUUCUUGGGUGCAGGCAGUGUGGUAUGGUUGAAAAAGCACUGGACUUGGGGAUUCGGGGGCUGCAUUUGAAUUCUAAGGCUGCCCCUUGAGAACUGCAUGAUCUUGGGCAAAUAAUGUUUCUGAACCUCAGUUUCCUCUUCAGUACUAUUCGCACAGGCUUUGGACUCAGACUCUGCCCUUAAUCUUGCAUGACACUAUUACUUAACCUCUGAGCCUCAGAUGCCUCAUCUGUUUUUGUUGUCAUUGUUGUUUUAGGGCCACACCUGGAGCAUAGGGAAGUUCCCAGGUGAGGGGUAGAAUUGGAGCUGCAGCUACUGCUCUAUGACCUAUGCUGCAGCUUGUGGCAAUGCCGGAUCCUUAACCCACUGAGUGAGGCCAGGGAUCAAACCUGUAUCCUUGUGGACACUUGUAGGGUUGGUAACCCAAUUAGCCACAAUGGGAACCCCCAUCUCAUCUAUAAAAACAGGGGCAACCUCCCACUCCUGGGCAUCUAUCCAGAGAAAACCAUGACUCGCAAAGACACAUGUAGUCCGAUGUUCAUUGCAGCACUAUUUGCAAUAGCAAAAACAUGGGAACAACCUAAAUGUCCAUUGAGAAAGGAGUGGAUCAAGAAGAUGUGGUACAUAUACCCAAUGGAAUAUUGCUCAGCCAUUAAAAUGAACAAAAUACCAGCAUUCUGAGCAAUAUGGAUGGACCUAGAAAUUACCAUGCUAAGUGAAGUCAGCCAUACAAUGAGACACCAACAUCCAAUGCUUUCACUGACAUCUGGAACCUGAAAAAAGGACAGACUGAACUUCUUUGCAGAACAGAUGCUGACUCACAGACAUUGAAAAACUUAUGGUCUCUGGAGGAGACAGUUUGGGGGGUGGUGGGAUGUGCUUGGGUUGUGGGAUGAAAAUCCUGUGAAAUUAGAUUGUGAUGAUCAUUAUACAACUACAGAUGUGAUACAUUCAUUUGAGUAAUAAAAACAAAACAAAACAAAACAAAAACCAAGGGCAACCUUUGGAGUACUAAUAAGAUAAUUGAUGGAAGUUGAUUUUAUGUAUAACAGAAAACCAGGGAAUAACAAUAAAUUUGGGGCGGGUGACAUGGGUUUGAAUUUGCCCCCGGCUAGAUAUGUAACCUGUCUAAGAAGCAACUCCUCCUCUCUAAGAGGAGCACUGCCUUCUCACGGGGUUCUUGUGGGGCUCCCACGAGAUAAGGUGUGGAGGCACAUGUACAGUUCUGUACAAAUGUGAAGAGUCCCUUUUGUUCUUUGGCUCACCCUCUUGCAAAGGCUGAAUAAGUACUGAAUUGGCCAAAAGAGGGAGGGUGAGGGAAGGAAUGUGAAUCUUAGGGGGAGAAUCAGAAAACCUCCAAUAAUCCCUUGUGUUUCUCACACUUCCCAUUAGGCCUGAGCUCCUAAGGAAUGGCUCACAACCAUAGUGGGCAGGGGACAUGGGAACGGAAACAGGGCCCACUGCUGGGAGGGAGCAAAGCCCAGGGAGCCCUUGGGAGGAGCCCAAGGACAGAGGUUUUCUUCUCCAGGCUCCAACCUCCAGAACCAGGAGGUCUGGGGGUUCCUCCAAAGCUUCCUGUCUCAGCUGCACCCCUCAGUGACCAGCUGAUGCUGCAUGGAUCCUUUUAUUUGAUCAAUUGUUGUGGUAAUUACGGUGGUAUCUUAGUUUGACUAAGUCCUGCCCAGGUAUAGAAUAAACUGGCAGGUAAAGGGAGGGAUGCAGGGGCAGGAGAGGAGAGAUGAUGAGCCAGCUUCAUGAACAAUCCAAAAAAGGGAGUUCCCGUCAUGGCACAGCAGAAAUGAAUCUGACUAGGAACCAUGAGAUUGCAGGUUCAAUCCCUGGCCUCGUUCAGUGGGUUGAGGACCCAGUGUUGCUAUGAGCUGUGGUGUAGGUCACAGACAUGGCUUGGAUCUGGCGUUGCUGUGGCUGUGGCGUAGGCUGGCAGCUGUAGCUCCGAUUCGACCCCUAGCCUGGGAACCUCCAUAUGCCGUGGAUGCAGCCCUUAAAAAAAAAAUCCAAAAAAGGAGGGAAGAGAAAGGAAAGAAAGUCACACCAAGAAGCAGUGUAUAAGCCAUGGAGAAGGCAGCCCAAUAAGUGUGCCCUAAAUAAAAUACUCGUAGAAGGUAAAACUUGGUUGGUAUUUUUCAAAUCUGCAUUUACUAAAUCAGGCCUUGAUGAGAGGAAGACAGACAAACCGGCUAUCUUCUAACUUAUGGACAAGAAGGCAGUAAAUGCCCAUCUGCUGAAGGAUGGCACUGUCGGCAGGAAGGGCGAAGGUGGGUUCCUGGUGGCCUUCACUUCUCCCUGGCCUUGUUCGUGGGUGAAUUUAGGGAUGAUCAAGGCAGGUGGGCAAGGCCCUUAUACGGUGGUUUUGACCAGAAGCUUCAUCAACACCGGCUUUCCCCUUGGGUUAGUCCUGGCCCAGCAUCAGGCACCCCUAAACCAGCGGGCUCCCUGACCUCACAGUUCAUGCAGGUGAGGAACUGGCUUGGGGUCUGUGUCAGCAUUCUGGAUAAACUCGAAAAUGAACUUCACUUGCCUCUCGUAGGCUUGAACUGAGAUUCUCUCAUUGAUUCCAUGCACGCUGAGGGAGGAGAGUCCAUUGCUAUAGUACAGGUGUUAUUACAGAGCGCCUCCCCACCACCGCCCCAAUCCCUGAAGCCACUGUCCUUUGACCCUCCAGGGGUAGCAUGUGGGCAAGCUGGGAGUGGCUGUUUGUAAGAAGUGAGGUUUCACACGACCUGCUUGGUCAUCUGUCCCAGCAUCCAUGCCCAUGGCAAAGAACAGUAGGGGAGGAUAAUAAUAAACUUGUAGUUCAAGAUCACCGCUUACUCUGGAAUCCAUUAGAUCAUUUCAACAUUAUCUUUGUAAUUCUAAGGCCAGAGUCCCAGCUAGACUUGUCUCUAAGCCAGCUGCCUCCCCCUCAUCAUUAGGGGCACAGGUGGUUAGGGAGAGCAUCUGCCCAGAGUACUACAGGGUUCUCUACUUCACCUAGGAACUCCACCACCAGGUCCACAACCUCUUCCACAAAACACAACACAACACCAAACCAUACAUGUAACCUCAAAGAUGAAAGGAAAUAAAAAAUAGCUCCCUUUCCCCUGUCCCCUCAACCCCAUUAAAAAACAAACAAAAAACUGUGAAAUCUGUUCUUCUUUUUCUUUUUUGGCCUUUUUUUUUUUUUUUUGUCUUUUUUGCCAUUUCUUGGGCCGCUCCUGUGGCAUAUGGAGGUUCCCAGGCUAGGGGUCGAAUUGGAGCUAUAGCCGCCGGCCUACGCCACAGCCACAGCAACGCCGGAUCUGAGCUGCGUCUGUAACCUACACCACAGCUCAUGGCAACGCCAGAUCCUUAACCCACUGAGCAGGGCCAGGAAUCGAACCCGCAACCUCAUGGUUCCUAGUCAGAUUCGUUAACCACUGAGCCACGAUGGGAACUCCUCUUUUUUGGCUUUUUAAAGGGCCACACCCAUGGCAUAUGGAAGCUCCCGGGCUAUGGGUUGAAUCAGAGCUACAACUGCCAGCCUACACCACAGCCACAACAACUUGGAAUCCAAGCCUUGUCUGUGACCUAUGCCACAGCUCAUGGCAUCACCAGAUCAUUAAUCCACUGAGAAAGACCAGGGACUGAAGCCGCAUUGUCAUGGGUUCUAGUCAGAGUCACUUCUGCUGUGCCACAACGGGAACUCCUAAAAUCUGUUCUUAAGCUCAUAUUCAAAUUGUUUUGUUGGCAACCGACUUACGACGAGGAAAUCAGAGCUGGAUGUGGUAAGGAGCAGAGAGGAAAUGGACAUCAUCCCCUCAUAUCCUGGGACUAAAAAUCUGCUGAAGAACCCACAAAGAGUAAUUCACACACAGCAGUUGAAAUGUGAGCAUGUCUUAGAUUCCUACAGUAUGUUUGCUUUUGAGAAUUCAAAGCAUGGACCCACCUUUGACCUCAAAUGUGUCUGUAUUUCACCGGUAACUGCCAACUGUGGAAUCUCCCGUUUUUGGGGAGAAAAUGAGAUCAGAGGGGAUGUACUCUCUCAAAGGGAGGAAGGGGUGGGGACAGCACCCAUGGCUUCUGAUUCUACCAGGUUCCUUUCAAUCAUCUGAUGGACUCUAUCUCUGAAAAACAGUCACCAAUUCCCACAAGUUUCGGGGAGUGGUGAGAUUGUGGAACUGAGGAAUGUUGGCCAGUUGGGUUCUACAGUGUCUUUUAGUUUGUGCAAACCCUGGCUUUCACCCAUGCUGUGGACUGUCAAGAGAACAGGGGCGUGGAAGGGACAGGUC